rnacentral:sRNA from 1 species
CUGCUGGGGGGCAAUGAAAUGGAUGUGAGCAUCGAUACCCCCAGCAGUCAGGACAAAACCCUCUCCAGCAAUCGCCUCCGUGGUCACGCCAACGACCAUGUCGUGAGAUACCCCAGCCAUGACAUCUGGGUUUCCUGCCUUUCCUAUGCCAGCAAUUCUCCCAUUCUUGAUCCCUACAUCAGCUUUACGAAUCCCAGUCCAGUCGAUGAUGAGAGCGUUUGUUAUCACACAGUCGAGAGCCCUCGAGUCUGGCACUCCAGCAGCCUGCCCCAUCCCAUCCCG